AGUGAACGCUGGCGGUAGGCCUAACACAUGCAAGUCGAACGGCAGCACAGUAAGAGCUUGCUCUUACGGGUGGCGAGUGGCGGACGGGUGAGGAAUACAUCGGAAUCUACUUUUUCGUGGGGGAUAACGUAGGGAAACUUACGCUAAUACCGCAUACGACCUACGGGUGAAAGCAGGGGAUCUUCGGACCUUGCGCGAUUGAAUGAGCCGAUGUCGGAUUAGCUAGUUGGCGGGGUAAAGGCCCACCAAGGCGACGAUCCGUAGCUGGUCUGAGAGGAUGAUCCGCCACAAUGGAACUGAGACACGGUCCAGACUCCUCGGGGAGGCAGCGAUGGGGAAUAUUGGACAAAGGGCGCAAGCCUGAUCCAGCCAUACCGCGUGGGUGAAGAAGGCCUUCGGGUUGUAAAGCCCUUUUGUUGGGAAAGAAAAGCAGCAGGUUAAUACCCCGCUGUUCUGACGGUACCCAAAGAAUAAGCACGGGCUAACUUCGUG
rnacentral:rRNA from 1 species